CCUACGUGGAGCAGCAGUGAGGAAUAUUGGUCAAUGGGCGCGAGCCUGAACCAGCCAAGUAGCGUGAAGGAUGACUGCCCUACGGGUUGUAAACUUCUUUUAUAAAGGAAUAGAGUGAGGCACGUGUGCCUUUUUGUAUGUACUUUAUGAAUAAGGAUCGGCUAACUCCGUGCCAGCAGCCGCGGUAAUACGGAGGAUCCGAGCGUUAUCCGGAUUUGUUGGGUUGAAAGGGAGCGUAGAUGGGUUGUUAAGUCAGUUGUGAAAGUUUGCGGCUCAACCGUAAAAUUGCAAGUGAAACUGGCAGUCUUGAGUACAGUAGAGGUGGGCGGAAUUCGUGGUGUAGCGGUGGAAUGCUUAGAUAUCACGAAGAACUCCGAUUGCGAAGGCAGCUCACUGGACUGCAACUGACACUGAGGCUCGAAAGUGUGGGUAUCAAACAGGAUUAGAUACCCGUGUAGUC
rnacentral:rRNA from 1 species